UACGGGAGGCAGCAGUGGGGAAUAUUGCACAAUGGGCGCAAGCCUGAUGCAGCCAUGCCGCGUGUAUGAAGAAGGCCUUCGGGCUGUAAAGUACUUUCAGUCGUGAGGAAGGUGUUAAGGUUAAUAACCUUAGCAAUUGACGUUAGCGACAGAAGAAGCACCGGCUAACUCCGUGCCAGCAGCCGCGGUAAUACGGAGGGUGCGAGCGUUAAUCGGAAUUACUGGGCGUAAAGGGCACGCAGGCGGUUAAUUAAGUUGGAUGUGAAAUCCCCGGGCUUAACCUGGGAAUGGCAUUCAAGACUGGUUAGCUAGAGUCUUGUAGAGGGGGUAGAAUUCCAUGUGUAGCGGUGAAAUGCGUAGAGAUGUGGAGGAAUACCGGUGGCGAAGGCGGCCCCUGGGACAAAGGACUGACGCUCAUGUGCGAAAGCGUGGGGAGCAAACAGGGAUUAGAUACC
rnacentral:rRNA from 1 species